AGGUUCCACCUCCUCUGCUCUGGGAACGACAAGAAAACGCCUGACACAGAACACAACUUUCGUAUUGAUUUCCGAUAAUCUCCGGUCCUGCUGUGCCCGAAGCUCUGAGGUGGCGCUGGGAAAAAUCACAGUCAAUGAUGACCUUGCCAAGAGCUGGAGCUGACAAGCCAGCGGAGCGAUCUCUCUUUCUUAGGAGGGUCAAGCUCUUCUGACAGUUGGAAACUUCAACUGACUUUUACUCCUGAGCCUGUGGUGGCUGCCAUCUUGGGUUGCUUCCCCCACCGACUUCCCCCACAGAUCAGUAUCUUAAAUCAGCUGAGUGUGCAUCCGUCACGAUGGGAAAGUCACCACAGCAGAAGUGUGAGGUGCUUUGCCUUAUGAAAGCUGAGAAAGCACGGAGUCCGAAGGAAA
rnacentral:lncRNA from 1 species